rnacentral:rRNA from 1 species
UACGGGGGGGGCAAGCGUUGUUCGGAAUUACUGGGCGUAAAGGGUUCGUAGGUGGCCAACUCAGUCAGACGUGAAAUCCCUCAGCUCAACUGGGGAACUGCGUCUGAUACUAGAUGGCUCGAGUGCAGGAGAGGAACGCGGAAUUCCAGGUGUAGCGGUGAAAUGCGUAGAUAUCUGGAGGAACACCGGUGGCGAAGGCGGCGUUCUGGACGUGCAACUGACACUGAGGAACGAAAGACCAGGGGAGCAAAGCGGG